rnacentral:tmRNA from 1 species
GGGGGCGACACGGCUUCGACGGGGGUCAUGGAACCGCCGGAUGCAUGCCGAGCACCAUCGACUCGUAAAUCCGAUGGAAACCGAGUAACUGCGGACACGCAGCUGCCUCUCGCUGCCUAGACGGUAGCGACGCCUCUUCCGAUCCUGCCCGCGGGCCGGGAGCCAGGCGCCAUAUCAGCGGGCUGGCCACCGCGCGCGGCACCGACGCGCGGCGGCGAGACGUCAUCGGGGCUGGUUCCCUGGCGGUUUCCGCCGCCCUUAGACGCCGGGGACGAGACAAACAAGGGCGGACACGCAUGUAGAGUCCGACGGGACUGGGUUCUCGGACGCGGGUUCGACUCCCGCCGCCUCCACCA